AUGUGCGGGAGUGAUGUGCGAUUUCUUGUGUCCCCAACUAUCCUUGUUUACGUUUUGCGCAGUGUUGCUCCUUAUUCCAUUGUGGAAUGAUUUAUCCUAGCUAACUUGUUGAGUUACAGGUGCAUGCGCCAUUCAUCAACGCCUACCUGUUGGCAUCAUCAACAAUCUUUAUAGUAGGUGACGGAAAGAAAUUGUUUUCCAGUUUUAAAAUAUUAAGCGUUCAGCACAACUCAGCCACAAAACAACGCACUGGAUUGCGCUAAGAACCUGUCGAAACGCGCGCAGCCCCCGGGAGCGGUAGGAGAAAGGAAGAACGAGAGGAGAAAAAACUAAAGCCAGCGCGCAGCUCUGAUGGUACCCCGUACGCGGUAAGAAGAAAAAAGAUCGAGAGGAGGAAGAACGGUAAAUUUGGAAGGGGGAGACCGUUCUGCCGUCUCCACAGUGUGAGUAUGCCAAAGCACGUGUUGGAAGGGAAAGAAAAAGUGUGGAAUAAACCGCAUGCGAAUGUGUGCAUACAGCAAAAGUAAA